ACCAGAGACUCUGGAGCACCUCCUGCUGGCCUGCCCUGCUCACCUGCAGCACCGCGGCUGACUUCUGCAGGAGUUCCACCGCCUGGGGCUACCAUGUUCACGACAGGAAGAUAUCCUCUUCCCCUGUCGUAAUCAGCUACCAGCCUUCCUAAGUGUCGUCGAGUACCUCGACUCGUCGGGGCUCUCAGCGAGACUAUAGGAAGUUUCUACAAAGACGGAUAGCCUAACGGCCGUCCCACCACCUCGGGCUUCCUGAUCCGCCACAACUUCGCUUCUGCUGGGCCACCUCCUAUACGGUCUACCACCAGCCUACUCCUCCGGUCGAAUCCACUGGGCCCUCCCGGCCGGGCUGCUCUGAUGCUGCUAGGGCGACUCUCUACAUUUCUCCCUCCAAACCUCUCUCUCCUUUACACCCAUCUCCACCACCCUGCUGGCGCUGAGCCGUGCUCCCGCAUUGGUUGCAGAAAAUAGUGCUAUCCUUUCCUCCUUUCCCCACAAGAACCACCACUCCCGUCCCACAGUGUAGGGUAGGCAACCAGACACAUUUCUGGUCAACAUCUCUGACUUCUCUCAUUCUUUCCUCCUCCUCCUGGUAAAGCUAUGAUUUGUUCUUUUUUGUUCUUGUUUUUAAUAUAUAACUUAAUAAUAAUAUAAACUAAAGCGCCACUACAGGAGUAUUUAAAGAAAACGCAGAGCGGUAUAGAACGACUGAAAGUUGAGCAAGCUGGUAGGGAUUUUUGGCUGCGCUGGACGACGCAGGAAUGCUUGAAUGUAGCACUUUUCUUUUCAUUUUUUUUUAGAAUUAUUUAGCAUCAGACUGGGCAGAGUUUAUACAAUGUGCUGGUUUCUGCGCAGCAUAACGUUGUAAAGACGACCGCUGUAGUAAGCCGCAGUAGAAUUGAUAUAAGAGAACAAUAAGCGAUAUUAGUUCAGUGCCCCCUGAAAGGACUCAGCCAACAAGAGUCCAAUUUCCCUUUUUUUUUUUUUUUCAGUGCGCACGCUCACUGCCACGUUUUAGUUGUUUUCAACGCUUUUUCUUUUUCCCCCGAUCCUGCUGGUGCUUACAAGCCAAGCAGUUCUCGGAUUAUUGCAUUACGCUCCUCCAGGCUGAACUUUCCUGCAGCGGGUCUCGCGUCUCGCAUGCAGUCUGCAAGGACAGGUCAGCGUUGCCCUUGGAGGUGGGAUGCUGCAACCUAGGGAAAAAGACAGCUUCGCAGGCCGACAGAGGGAACGUUGUCCUCGAGCAAAAGAGAAACGGGGUGGUGCGCGGAGCGAGCGGAAACGGCGCCUCAAGCGGAGGAGAGGAGCCUUGACACGCACCGACGCGCUUUCCUCUGCGGGGCUGUUUGUGCUCGUGACGCGAGCGUCAGUGAGCGCGGCAGCAGCAGCUGGGAGAGAGAGAGAAUCCGACUGUAGGCGAUCAAUAGAGGGCCCAGUGUCCGGGACAUGUGCGCCAAAAGCGACAGUGGUGGGGUCUUCGGAGGUGCCCCCCUUCCACCAUCGUACUCCUAGGGAGAACUCGGUGCCCGCUUCCCCAGGCGGGUGGUGCAACAACGAUCCGGGCCGCGGGAGAACGUGUGGCGAGGGUGCGCCUUGCAGGCGGCGCUGAGGGCGAGGGGUGUUGUUGCCAAACCGUGCGGCGACCGACCCCGGACUGCAGCAGUUGGGCGUCCCCUAUGCUGGUGCGCUGCUCGCUGUGGACGUUGCUGCUGCCUUUCCCUGCCACCGCACCGCUCGGAUUAUUACCGCCGUUUGUCGGGAUACUUGCCUUCUGAAAAGGUUUGUGACGAACGUGUGCUGGAGUCUGACGGUCCUGGCCCGGUGUGGCGGUAACAGCCGCGUCCGCGCGGCACCCCAGCGUUCCUUGUGGAUUACGCCAAGGCAGAAGAGAACAACGUUGCUUCACGGCGGAUACUGUGUGUGGGUGCCAGUGCGCGCGUGUUUUGUGCCAUCGCGUUCUGUGUGAAGCGGGCUCCAUGAGCGAGCGUGACCUGCCUGAUGCGGCGGCGCCUGUGACCGCGCCGUCGUGUUGUGCAUCGCGAGACAAGUGCCCCCUUUCAAGGAGAGAAAAGUGUGUUGCGUGAUCAGUGGUGCACCUUUGCAAUCUUCACACCUUUCGGAUAUAAUGCGUUGGUCUCGCGCCCUCUGGCGUGAGGUCCACUGUAAAUAGGUGCUCUGGUAAGUUCGGGAGGCAUAAACUGUAGGAAAGCUAAAGUAUAGAAAAUGGGGUGUUGUGGAUGAGGAAUGUCGCGACGCGCGGACGAGACCAAAAGUGCACGAGUGUACCUGAAGCCGCCGCCUGUGCCGCGGAUAGGUCGUCGUCCCCCACGGUUGCUUGCACUAAUGGUCGCCACACUUUCACACUUCGCCCGCACCUAUUCGAAUGCCAAGAAAUACCAUUGGCGGUAUAGUAAGAAAACGUAACACGGUCGAAUGAGGGCGUAAUGGCCCUGGAAGAACUCAUAAUAAGUAGCGAAGGUUUGCUGCGCGUGUUGCGACGUAUAUUCCGGUUCUGUGUUGCUGGCUGUCGCUGCAAAAAAAAAAAAAAAAGGAAGGAUGCGUUAACAAUGCGUGCCGCGCAAGCUCAGCGUCCAAGCGCGUGCUCGAGAGAGGAGAAAAGCCGUGCACUGUGCUCUUGGAGGCACGUCGCGGUCCGUCCACCUUGGGUUUCGACCACGGCUCUUCACAUUGUGCUCUCGUUGUCGUCCGAUCUGCGAAUCUGGAAAUUGCGAAUUCGCUUCAUGGGUGCACGCGGCAAGGCGAACCGGUCGCAUGGCAACCGUUUCGCCUUGCCGUUCGCUCGUAGCACACUGCAGCUGUCGUGCUUCCGUAAUGUUGUGCGUUUAUUCGUUUGUUUUUUCAAAGCUUUAUUAGACGAAACGCUCACGUGCACGCUCAGCACACAUUUAAGCGCUGCCAUCACGCGGUGCGCAAUUCUCUGCGCUCGUGUACGUGCGCGUUGCUUUUAGGAAGUACCGGCCCGGUGAAACUUGCCAGCGAUAGAGGCUGGUUGUGUGGCACCGCGACAGCACGUCAGUCUUUCGCAUCGGAACGCACCAGCGACUGAAUGAAUGUAUUUGCCCGCCGAUCUCCGCCGUCAUCAUGGUCAGCAAGCGUUAUAGUGAGACUAAACGACAACAAAUGAUUGAAAUGAACGAGGAGAAAAAAAAGACAAAGCCGUAUGAUUAUUACAUUGGCGCUCGAUUCGGGUCCGCAUGACGUCUGCGCGUUGUCAGUGGCCGCGCUUUGCCUUUAGUACAACUAUUAGCACAGUGACAAUCUCAGCAGUUCCACGAACUGCCUGGAUCUUUUCGUCUGCAGGCACGCGACCGGGGCGGCGCCUUGAAAGGCUCUCGGUUACAAUAGGCUGCCUGGAAUGACAGCAGCUGCCAUUUUGCAGAAGGUUUCUUGACCUGAACUCUGAUAUAUUGCCGACGACAAAAAAAAAAUUAAAGAAAGGAAGAAGCACGCCUGCGCAGGAUUCGGGGGAACGUAAACAAUAGAAAGAACAGCACGACAGAGAAGGGCCGGUGCGAGCAGCACAAGUACAGUCAGAAUCAGACUUCUCUGGAGCAGUUGAGCAGGCGGCUGACGGCUGCAUGAGCUCUCAGUAGCUGCUGGGUUCGAGAUAUGUUGGAUACGAGCGCCAGAAGCCUGCAUGCGGCAUGGCUGCUCGUGGCUAUUUGCGUUAUCAGCCUGUAGAUUUUGUCACGAGGGGUGGUGAACGGAAUCUGCGCUUUCUUCUUGGCCUGCUUCGGCGCGUGCAGCGGCCGCCGCUGCUGAUAAGAGAGCGAAAAUGAAACAUUCGUAUCUGGUUGAAGCCGAAAGAGUGGCAGUGUUUAGAGUUAUACAUUUUUGCUUUAGACCAUACCAAAAGAGCGUAGCGACUUGAUGAAACACUUCAAGCAGUAUGUAGAAUAAACGAUGAAACUCCAGAAACAGUAAGAGGAAGCUUCUUUACCUUAGGGAACGCACAUUAAAAGGCUGAAAUUGUUUAUCUGGCCUUUACCAUACCGAAUUUGACACGGCUUGGUGAAUUAAAAUGAAGCGAAAAUCCAGAACUGUAGGAAGCAAAGGUUAUCAAUAAAAAUUUCUUUUUUUUUUUAGAAAUUGUUGCAUCUCGGGACACUUAUAAAGCGAGUGAUAGUGCAUCAUACGGAGCUCCAAAUUACACCGCUAACUUGGAAAGAUAAUUUUGGGGUACUAAGCUUUGUAAUAACUUCAGAUAGGUUAUUUAUUCUAUACAUCAAAUUUAUCCACUUCCCAUGCUCUAAAAUACGGCAUUUUGCAAAACAAAGAGAUGUGUUAUGGUGCAGCGAGAAGCUAAGCAUUACACAUAAUUUGAUAUUCUUCUGCACUUUCCAAAAUUAAUUAUAUGAUUUCAAAGAUAUUAUUGGAGUGAGUUACAGGAUUUUUGAAAGCAUAUGAUACCUCAGCAUACCUCGGAGCCACUGAAUGUGAAAUCCGAGGUUUGCCCUUCGGUUAAGAUUUGUUUUAACGCAGCAUUAUUCCAUACGAGCAUCAAUUUGCUCUAUUAAAAAGUUAUUGGGCGGCUAUUUCAACCAAUGAAAGUAAAUAGCUCGGCAGACAUAUCUGAAGCCGUGUUUCAAGUGGGUAUGACAUACAUGAUUUAUUAAGCCUCUCAUGAAAAUACAUAAAUAAAAAUAAAGUAGCACGUUCACUCAAUCUGAUCAAGCGAAACUAGAGAAAGAAUAUAUAAGUGCACCACUGAAAUGCACUAACUCAAUAGACAACCUCGUCGUUCCAUAACAGACGAGAUCCUUCGAGGGAGGGAAUCGUAGAGCGAAUUGACGGGCAGAAGAUGAUAGCUCUCCCACUCUUCUUGAAUAGCUACCCAGAGUUGGUCAGCUGUGGCUGUCGUUAAACCCACACUUCUGCUCAAAUUUUGCCUCAUCAGGCCCCAAACAUGUUCUAUCAUGUUCAGGGCUGGGCUUCGUGCAGUCGCCACUCAAACGUUGAGAUGCAUAAGUUGUCCAGCAAUUCUUUGACGCACCUGGCUGAGUGCACCGACGCUUCACCUUGCUGAAGCAAAAAAAAAAAAAAAAAGCCAUCGGGAAAUGGUUCUUCGAGCACGGAAGGCAUCAGAGUAUAUUGCAACGUGUACAUGUAGUCGUGUACAUGCGAGCUUCGUGGAGCAUCCGUCUUAUCGUUGGCAGGCUGACAUUUGUCAAGCCGAGCUCAGCCCUGAUCUCCUUAGCACUUAGAAAGGGAUCUGCUACUGGACGCAGCCACAAUCAGCAGGUAUUCCACAUGUGACGUGGCCCUUUCAGGGUGACCAUGUGGAGCGUCUUCAAUGCGACCUCCUUCCCGGUACGCCUUCAAGACUCGGUUCACAGUUCCCAUUGGGCGAUCUGUCACAUUACAAAUAGCUCUAUGGGACAUUGUGCGUCCCAUUAUAGCGAUCGCUCGUCGCUCUUUUCUGGUCAGCCGUGCACCCAUCGCGCGAACAAGAGUGUUAUAGUUCGCGUCAGUCGUUGUUUGCGUCUAUCACUUCAUGUGCUAAUUGGCGUUGACGUGACCAUUUACCGCGGUGCAGAUGAAUUAUUGCCGUUCUUUAUGUUUAAUCACGUGUGGUUUUCAGAGCUAACGCAGGCAUUCUUGGCGCAAAUCUGCGCUUAUCACGAACGGCGAUUGUUGCACAAACGAUAGCAAGCAAAAAAAAAAAAAAAAAAGGCUAACGUAGCUUUGACUGUUUCGUAUGACAAAAUUUACCGACCGAUAUCGCAGUUUGGCCGCGAGUAUGCAAGCCGCAUGCAGGCUUCUGGCGCUCGAAUCCAACAUAUAUCUCGAACCCAACAGUUAUACACCGAGAGGCGGCGCUCGUGCAGCCGUCAGCCGGCUACUCGACUGCUCCAGACAAGUAAGAUUCUGACUGUACAUUUGUGUUAUGCGCGAUGCCUAUUGCACUGUUCGCAGAAGGCAAACGUUGCUGCACAAUGCCGGAACAUGCGCGCACACGUGUGUGUCUUGUUGAUUGUGGAUCUAAUGUCCAGGUUUAGCGUGAAUUAGCACGAUGAGCUUACGCGUCACUCUUGUGCGCUCACCAUCUGGCGCAAUCAUUAUCUUCAUCUUUCUUGCGUGAAAUCGCUUCGUUUGAAGUGCAUGUUAUACUAACAUGACGAGUAGUACGCUUUAUAGCCAGCUCAAGCCAGUCUAGCAAAUACCUAAGAAGUGAGCGGGGAAUAUCUGGAGAGAGCUAUGAGGUGCGUCCGACGCGACGGUGCCUUUCGCAGGUGUGAACAAGACGAAUGACCUUGAAAUUUGUAUUUUAUCUUGCUGGGCAAUAAUACUAACCCUUCCUCAAAAAUGUACCCCUCAAGCCCGAUUUAACAUCCCAGCGAGAAACCUUUCAAUAAUAUUGAUAAUGAAGAGACGAUUGAACACGUUCUUUCGCAGUCUCUCCAUGGACAGGAAAAGUGCCCAGAAAGGCGAGACGUUACGGAAACAUAUUCAGCGCUCCCCUUUCUGCGGAAGCAUUAAAUGCGCUGUUUUCAUUGUGUAGUCGUUUGCAGUAGCGUCACGCGUACAACUUGCUCUCACGCUGCCCAGUUCACUCUGAAAAUGAUUGAUACCUGAAUAAAAAUAUCUUCCAUUUACCGCACGUAUACCGUGACAUCCAACCUUUUUCUGGCCUCCGACACACUUAAGGCUGGCUGUCACGAACCUAAUGCAUCAAUUUGUUUGAAAAAGUUCGUUAAUGACGAUCUGCUUUUCUCUUUCUUUCUUUCUUUUUUUUUUCUGCUUAAGCUUUUACCGAUGCCGAGGAAGGCACGCUUCUCAGUAGGUUUUCUUUCUUUUUUGUCAGUUUUGUCAGCGGAGAGGCCUCUCCAGUGAGGUUUUCUUGAUUACUUCAAACGCAUUACAAAAUACCUUUUCUUCUGCAAUUUCAGUAAUAUAAAUACUGCCGCUUGUGGGUAUUUCAAGCGUUUCUCCCUAUCCGCGCCGCGUUUUGAAGUCUCUGUAUUGUAUUGCAGAGGCUCUAUAUACGCUUGGCGCAUCCUGUAUCGCGCUGCAGCUGCCAUUUCUUUCGAAUGCCACGCGCUCAGUAUUUCUUCAAGACGAACGCUGUGUUCGGCUCUGCACGACAGUCUCUAUCAAAAAAUUUUGAAGCCACUGCUCGCUUGAGCAAGUGAACCGAGUUUCAGCAUUCGCCCUCUUACCGAUGCAGCUUUGGAGAACAAUUAGAUAACUUGGCUUCCAAAAACUAUUGACAAGUUUUCUGUGGUCGUAAACAUGCCGUCACAGCGUGGAUAACAAGGUAUCGUUCUGCUCUGAUUAAUUUUAGGCAGGAUGCAUGUAUACAUUUCUUGAUCCUCUGCGCAACAUUUAUUCAGUGGGACGUACAGGAACGGGCGCUCUGUCAGACACUUCCCCACAUUUUCGUCAGUUCCCUAGGCUGCUGUCUUCUUUAUGGUUGCCUGAAUAGAAUGAGAUGAACAUAACGAGAGAGAGAGAGAGAGAGAGAGGAAAGUCAACCAAUCGAGCGUUUAGUUUGAUACCCUGGACAGGAGAGAAAGGGAACGGAUGGAGAAAAAAAGGAGAGAUACUUGCAGUACCGCAAGUGUGAUGGUGCGCUACUCUAGCGAAGGAACGGAGCAGGCAUUGAAGACAGAAAUGCGCAGCCGAAUCUGGGGUCAAACCAUUGUAGCGCAAAUAAAACACACAAAAUCGGAGCCCACGGGAGCUACACUCGCAUCUAAUUCAUUAGAGUCCCCUACAAGACCAGAACCAGCAAAGCAACUCGAAAACGAAAGGCAAGGAAAUUUAGUUUCUAAAUUGACACGCGGAAGUAUCGCUGACGCAAUCCGUGCCUCUUUUCCUGAUAUGAAAAGCCUAAAAAAAAGAGGAGCCAUUUUGCCCUGUGUAGGUGGUCGACCAGCGAAGCUGCUAUGGUGGUAUAAAUUAUGUUGGUGUAGGGUUUUGUUGGUACGUAACUAUACAUAUAAUUAUGUAUAUGUCAUUUAUUCGAAAUACAAAGAAAUAUCAGGCGCGCACUACGUCGUACAUACACAUAGCUACCGCCGAAGGGCUUUUACGACGCCGCUCUAAAGACGCAGGUGUUGUCGACGCAGCUGCAACGGAGCGCCGUUUAGACGCAGGUGGCCGUUAAACCGCGAGCAUCGACGUGAGCGACGAUAUGCGUUGACCGGGGCGCAGUUCAAAGAAGUGCGCGAAACAAAACACGUACGUUUCUUUGCGAUUUGCGAUUUAGCAUACUUCCUAGCUAAUUAAAUUUGCUGAAUGAAACUUGGAAGGACUAGAGUUUUAUUCUAGCGGACAAACGUCGGGCUGUCCUUUUCCCUCCUGUAGAUACCCAUGUAUUGACAGCAGACGGGAAUUCCACAAUAUUUACAACUUCACUGUGAACUACGUAUUUGUGAAAAGUAAAUAAACCUCGCCGUAAUCUUAGAGUCGUCUUCGCGGCUAAUUGUCACAUAGUUUGUUUCGGUAUAGUUUUCAUAAAACAACAGUUACAGCCGUUUUCUGUACUCCCUCCGUAGAUGCCCAUGUAUUGACAGCCGUCGGGAAUUCUGUAAUGUUUACAACUUCACUGUGAACUAAUUAUGACAAGUAAACGAAACUCGGCGUAAUGAUAGAGUCCUCUUCGCGGCAAAUUUCAGCGUGAUCUUUUUUCCAAGGUACCUAAAUUAGAUUUCUCCAAGAUAGGUACAUACUUUGAUUGCCGCAAGGCGUUUUCUAUUGGCCGCCACGAUUUUUCCGAAAGGUAGCCAUAUAGACGGCUUCGCUGUAAAAUUCGCGUGCAGCAGUUUCUCUGCUUCUGCAGUCUCGUGAAACCAAGGUUCACACUUGCAAAUCCAAUGUGCACGUUGGUGCGCAUUGCCUUUAUUCAUAGGUGACUGUCUGUGCUCCCGAGCACCGUCAAAGGUUUUCCUCGCGAAAGUGAAAUGGUUGAAUGAAAGGAGACAACGUUCGCUCAAACAACAGCUUCCAGCGGUGACGCUAUCUGGCAUUGCAGCCGGCCGGACGCGUCGUAAACACAGUGCACAAGGUUACACAGUUCCUGAAAAGGAGGGUGUGCGUUCAGUGUGACGUCUUCACCGUCGCUUCACGCGCCGUCUCUUGGUCGCGAGCGCUGUAGUGGAGCCCCCCGAAAUUCUUACUCAUGGCGCGUUCACAACUCACCCGCAGAACUUUUCUCCGUUGACCCUGAACGCGGGCUGAAUUUCUUCGCUGCUUAUGCGUGAGGCUGAAAAUCGAGACGUGCACUAUGCGCAAGCCACUGCAAUCCCCCUCCCCUUUAUUUUCCUCUCUCUCUUUUUGUGAAUUCCGUAUUGCAAUGUCUUUUUUCUUCUUUUUUUUUUUGCGGGCACAUAUACGGGUGUGGAAAGCGGCUGGGGGAAAAAUAAUCAAGGAAAAAAAAAAAAAAAAAAAGAAACGGCGUCCUUCACGGCUCGUGGCAUUUGUAGACGUUAAACUCUUCUCCUGUGCUGCGUGCGUGUUCGCCCAUAAUUACUGUCGCACACUUGCCAUGCCAACCGAGAUUCUGAUGUUCGUCUUGCAUAAAAAUAAAUUUAAAGUAAAGGGGAAGGAAAGCCCGAACCACCAAGGUAUUGCAGGCUUAAAGCCAAUUGGAAAUGAAAUAAUGUGGGGUGUGUUAAACAAAAAAUGUACUUGAAAAUCAAAGCCAAUCGAAAGAAAGAAAGAAAGAAAGAAAGAAAGAAAGGUAGCAACGAUAAUAACAGUAGGUGCGGGAGUUAACAAGUUAAGUUAAAAGUGCAUGAAUGCGAGCUAGUUGGUACGAACCCAUCGGGAAAAAAAAAGAAA